GCUGCCAUUUUUACCCGCUCUCUCUCUCUCUCUUAGGUUAUGCUUUCAUAGGACAGAAGUGCAGAACUGGAAGACCAAUGCAAUUCUUGGUAGAGGGUGGGGAACAUGUAAUUGCUUGUGGACUUACCAUAAAGACCACCAUUGAUUUCCUGAACAUAAAAUGCCAAAUGUUUUAUCCACAAGUAACACUCAAUGGAAUCCUCUUGCCAGAAAAUCCUCUAAUUUGGACAUCCCUCCAUGAUCAUUGGCUCUUCAAACUGGAAUGAACCCAGCUUCACUAGGAUGUCCUGCUCAACCUUGUGCUGCCAGGAACAUAUGCUUGUCAGUGACCUGUUAAAGUGGUAUGCUGCUCUUUCUGGAGCAAAGGCUCAUCAUCAACUGCCAAAUGAUCAUCACUUCCCAGAAAAUGUGUUUCCUGAUCUCACAUCAGGUCUUUCUUCAUGCCAAGUGACUACCAAGUAUACACCUUCCGGUCCUUCCCAUAGUUUCUCUUUUUUAUCCACAGAAGAAAAAAAGGAAAAAGUAAAAAGCCCGUCGCCAAGCAGUUCAUCACCUCACUUGUGGGGAAAGUCAGAGUAAUACACAUCCUGUGGCAUAUUCUGUGUAUCACUCUGAGUAUAUUAUCACGUGCCCUGUGGAACAGAUGCUACAAGGACUUCUAGUGACAUUUUUCCUGGAAAGUAUCCCUUUUAUCCCAAUACUUAGAAUGCAGAAUGUUAGCAUCUAUAACUCAGAGGCUUUCAACAUAUUAGCAUUUAGUGCUAUGCCAGAAUGACUAUACAUUCUGUUAUUCUGUUAGAAUGGAAAGAUUUAGUGAUCAGUAUGCAGUCAGUCUUGACCACCAUAGUAUGACUUUGACACAGUCAAAGAUAGGAUCACUUUGCUUUGAGGAUGGCAGUGGUGGGAGGCAAGACCAAUGAGGGCAAUGAUAUGCCACAAUGACAAGAGUACCUGGAACUCUAUUAGAAUAAAUGACAGACACACACACA
rnacentral:lncRNA from 1 species